rnacentral:rRNA from 1 species
AGCGUCAAAAGGGCGUCUGGUGGAUGCCUUGGUGGUAAGAGGCGAUGAAGGACGUGGCACGCUGCGUUAAGUUCCGGGGAGUUGCGAGCAGACUUUGAUCCGGAAAUUUCCGAAUGGGGGAACCCACCUUUACAGACCCUGGCGGUUGUUCGUCUGAGUGAUCAGGCGGCCAAUCACCAGUGUUUGUGAAAGGUAUCUUAUUCUGAAUACAUAGGAAUAAGAAGCGAACUCGGGGAACUGAAACAUCUAAGUACCCGAAGGAAAGGACAUCAAUUGAGACUUCCCUAGUAGCGGCGAGCGAACGGGAACCAGGCCAGUGUCUCUUCUUGAGUCAGCGGAACGAUCUGGAAAGUUCGGCCAUAGCGGGUGAUAGCCCCGUACGUUAAAGCGAUUGAAGAGACCUUGAGUAGGGCGGGACACGUGAAAUCCUGUCUGAACAUGGGGGGACCACCCUCCAAGCCUAAGUACUCCUUACCAACCGAUAGUGAACCAGUACCGUGAGGGAAAGGUGAAAAGCACCCCGACGAGGGGAGUGAAACAGAUCCUGAAACCGGACGCCUACAAGCAGUCGGAGCCGCCUUGCGCGGUGACGGCGUACCUUUUGUAUAAUGGGUCAGCGACUUUGUCUCUCGAGCAAGCUUAAGCCGGUAGGUGUAGGCGCAGCGAAAGCGAGUCUGAAUAGGGCGACGAGUUCGAGGGAUAAGACCCGAAACCGAGUGAUCUAGCCAUGUGCAGGUUGAAGGUGCGGUAACACGCACUGGAGGACCGAACCCACGUCUGUUGAAAAAGACGGGGAUGACGUGUGGCUAGGGGUGAAAGGCCAAUCAAACUCGGAGAUAGCUGGUUCUCCGCGAAAUCUAUUUAGGUAGAGCGUCGGAUGAAUACUCUCGGGGGUAGAGCACUGGAUGGGCUAUGGGGGCUUACCGCCUUACUGAUCCUAACCAAACUCCGAAUACCGAGAAGUACUAUCCGGCAGACACACAGUGGGUGCUAACGUCCAUUGUGGAGAGGGAAACAACCCUGACCGCCAGUUAAGGUCCCUAAGUUAUGGCUAAGUGGGAAAGGAUGUAGAACUCCCAAAACAACCAGGAUGUUGGCUUAGAAGCAGCCAUCAUUUAAAGAAAGCGUAACAGCUCACUGGUCUAAAUAAGGGGUUCCGCGCCGAAAAUGUACCGGGGCUCAAGCCAUACACCGAAACUGCGGGUGCACACUUUGUGUGCGCGGUAGCGGAGCGUUCUGUAAGUCUGCGAAGGGGGACCCGUGAGGGCUCCUGGAGAUAUCAGAAGUGCGAAUGCUGACAUGAGUAACGAUAAAGGGAGUGAGAGACUCCCUCGCCGAAAGUCCAAGGGUUCCUGCUCAACGCUAAUCGGAGCAGGGUUAGUCGGCCCCUAAGGCGAGGCCGAAAGGCGUAGUCGAUGGGAAACAGGUUAAUAUUCCUGUACUUGGUGGUAGUGACGGAUGCCGUGUGUUGUACUUGCUUAUUGGAUUGCAGGUGCAGCGAAGGUGUUCCAGGAAAUAGCUCCACCGUAUAAACCGUACCCGAAACCGACACAGGUGGACUGGUAGAGAAUACCAAGGCGCUUGAGAGAACUAUGCUGAAGGAACUCGGCAAAAUGCUCCCGUAAGUUCGCGAGAAGGGAGACCUGUGCUUGGGCAACCAGGUAUAGGUGGCACAGAAAUGGGGGUGGCGACUGUUUAUCAAAAACACAGGGCUCUGCGAAGUCGCAAGACGACGUAUAGGGUCUGACGCCUGCCCGGUGCCGGAAGGUUAAAAGGAGGGGUGAGAGCUCCGAAUUGAAGCCCCGGUAAACGGCGGCCGUAACUAUAACGGUCCUAAGGUAGCGAAAUUCCUUGUCGGGUAAUUUCCGACCCGCACGAAUGGUGUAACGACUCCUACACUGUCUCAACGAGGGACUCGGCGAAAUUGUAGUCGUGGUGAAGAUGCCACGUUCCCGCAUCAAGACGGAAAGACCCCGUGAACCUUCACUGCAGCCUAUUACUGGCUCUCGCCAUGGAAUGUGUAGGAUAGGUGGGAGACGUUAUGCCGUGGUCGCCAGAUCACGGAUAGUCACUGGUGAAAUACCACUCUUUUCAUGGUUGGAUUCUAACCCGGGACCGUUAUCCGGCCCGGGGACAGUGGUAGGUGGGCAGUUUGACUGGGGCGGUCUCCUCCGAAAGCGUAACGGAGGAGUGCAAAGGUACCCUCAGUGCGGUCGGUAAUCGCACGUAGAGCGUAAAGGUAUAAGGGUGCUUAACUGCGAGACAAAUAGGUCGAGCAGGUGCGAAAGCAGGUCUUAGUGAUCCGGUGGUCCCGUGUGGAAGGGCCAUCGCUCAUCAGAUAAAAGGUACUCCGGGGAUAACAGGCUGAUCUCCCCCAAGAGUCCAUAUCGACGG